AUUGAACGCUGGCGGCAUGCCUUACGCAUGCAAGUCGAACGGUAACGGGCCUUCGGGUGCCGACGAGUGGCGAACGGGUGAGUAAUGUAUCGGAACGUACCUUUCAGUGGGGGAUAACGUAGCGAAAGUUACGCUAAUACCGCAUAUUCUGUGAGCAGGAAAGCAGGGGAUCGCAAGACCUUGCGCUGAUUGAGCGGCCGAUAUCAGAUUAGCUAGUUGGUGAGGUAAAGGCUCACCAAGGCGACGAUCUGUAGCGGGUCUGAGAGGAUGAUCCGCCACACUGGAACUGAGACACGGUCCAGACUCCUACGGGAGGCAGCAGUGGGGAAUUUUGGACAAUGGGGCAACCCUGAUCCAGCCAUGCCGCGUGAGUGAAGAAGGCCUUCGGGUUGUAAAGCUCUUUCGGCCGGGAAGAAAUCGUAUCAGCUAAUACCUGGUGCGGAUGACGGUACCGGCAUAAGAAGCACCGGCUAACUACGUGCCAGCCGCCGCGGUAACAC
rnacentral:rRNA from 1 species